GGGGAUUUAGCUUAGUGGCAUAAGUGCCUGCCUUGCAAGCAGGUGGUCAUGAGUUCGAUCUCCG
rnacentral:tRNA from 1 species